UCCGGUGACUAUACUUGCGGGGAAACUCUCGUUCCCAUUCCGAACACGAUCGAUAAGCCCGCAAGGCCGAUGAUAGUGCCUACCAGCGCGAAAGUAGGUCAUCGCCGGAA
rnacentral:rRNA from 1 species